GGAUUAGGCAUGCAAGUCGAGCGACGGGCCCUCCUUCGGGGGGGAAACCGAGCGGCGAAAGGGUGAGUAAUGUAUGGACAACCUACCCGUGAGACGGGGAUAGCGUCUGGAAACGGGCGGUAAUACCCGAUGCCGUGAUCGGAUCGCAUGAUCUGAUCACGAAGGGAGGGGACCCUUCGGGGCCUACCGCUCAGGGAGGGGUUCAUAUCCUAUCAGCUUGUUGGUGAGGUAACGGCUCACCAAGGCAUUGACGGGUAGCCGGACUGAGAGGUUGGCCGGCCACACUGGGACUGAGACACUGCCCAGACUCCUACGGGAGGCUGCAGUCGAGAAUCAUUCGCAAUGGGCGCAAGCCUGACGAUGCGACGCCGCGUGGGGGAAGAAGGCCUUCGGGUCGUAAACUCCUGUCAUGGGUUAUGAAAUGCCGGCGGGAAAAUAUUCCGUCGGUUUGACAAAGGCCCAAGAGGAAGCCACGGCUAACUUCGUGCCAGCAGCCGCGGUAAUACGAAGGUGGCAAGCGUUGUUCGGAAUCACUGGGCAUAAAGGGUGCGUAGGCGGUCCGGGAAGUCGGGGGUGAAAUCCCUCGGCUCAACCGAGGAAUAGCCUUCGAAACUCCCGGACUCGAGUUCAGGAGGGGAGAGUGGAACUCUUGGUGGAGCGGUGAAAUGCGUUGAUAUCAAGAGGAACGCCGGCGGCGAAAGCGACUCUCUGGCCUGUAACUGACGCUGAUGCACGAAAGCCAGGGGAGCAAACGGGAUUAGAUACCCCGGUAGUCCUGGCCGUAAACGAUGGGCACUAAGUAGAGGGGUUUU
rnacentral:rRNA from 1 species